GACGAACGCGGCGGCGUGCCUAAUACAUGCAAGUCGAACGAGAGCGACUGGUGCUUGCACUGGUCAAUCUAGUGGCGAACGGGUGAGUAACACGUGGGUAACCUGCCCAUCAGAGGGGGAUAACAUCCGGAAACGGAUGCUAAAACCGCAUAGGUCUUCGAGCCGCAUGGCUUGAAGAGGAAAAGAGGCGCAAGCUUCUGCUGAUGGAUGGACCCGCGGUGCAUUAGCUAGUUGGUGAGGUAACGGCUCACCAAGGCCGUGAUGCAUAGCCGACCUGAGAGGGUGAUCGGCCACAUUGGGACUGAGACACGGCCCAAACUCCUACGGGAGGCAGCAGUAGGGAAUCUUCCGCAAUGGACGCAAGUCUGACGGAGCAACGCCGCGUGAGUGAAGAAGGUUUUCGGAUCGUAAAACUCUGUUGUUAGAGAAGAACAAGUGCUAGAGUAAACUG
rnacentral:rRNA from 1 species